rnacentral:lncRNA from 1 species
CCUCCCGACAUCCUUCCGACACAUCCGAUGUGACAUCCAAAAAAAUUUCAUCUCCAAUCUAAACAGGGCCUUAUUGAGAUACAACACUUUUUGAGAUACAACACUUUUUGAAAUCCAUUGUGAGGUUGUGCUAUGCCAAAUUAUUUGAAUUGAAUGCAGGCAUGUCUCACGACUUAUUGAGAUACAACACUUUUAUUUAUGACUUAGACUUGUUUUCAUACAGCGUGGAUGAAAUAUAAUUAAAGGAUUUUCAAUGGUGCCUUCUCAGCUAAAUAAACAAAAUAAAAAGAACAUAAGAGCAUCUUGACUUUUUGGCAAGAUUGAAAAAAAAACUACUCUCCAAUGACUCUCUAUCUCAACUCUCAAUCUUGUGGUCCUGCCGCACUCGAAAAAUCCACCUAGCAUGGACAGAUAAAUAUGGGUGUAUGUCCAUCGGUGAAUUAGAAGGUGAAAGCAGUAGCAAAGCCAAAAGCUUUUAUGAGCGCGG